rnacentral:rRNA from 1 species
CAGUCGCCGCGGUAACACGAAGGGGGCUAGCGUUGUUCGGAUUUACUGGGCGUAAAGCGCACGUAGGCGGAUCCUUAAGUCAGAGGUGAAAUCCCAAGGCUCAACCUUGGAACUGCCUUUGGUACUGGGGAUCUCGAGUUCGGGAGAGGUGAGUGGAACUGCGAGUGUAGAGGUGAAAUUCGUAGAUAUUCGCAAGAACACCAGUGGCGAAGGCGGCUCACUGGCCCGAUACUGACGCUGAGGUGCGAAAGCGUGGGGAGCAAACAGGAUUAGAUACCCCUGUAGUCCCUGUCUCUUAUAC